rnacentral:lncRNA from 1 species
GGCUGUAUUCCGGGGAAACUAGGACAGAAGUAGCCAUGCCAUUAAGCACGUUCUGCUGUGUUAACAUACCUACAGUGCCUAUAAACCAUGACAGGUCUGUUCAAGGACACCUGGGAAGGUUAAGGACCCUGCUGGACAGGGCAAGGAUACAAUUUUCUGUGGGGUGCUGCCAGGCUGAAUUAAGUUAACAGACUUCCUAAUCCAGAAAGUGAUAUGAAAACAGUUGUCAGAGAAGGCAGUUUUCAACUCAAGUUAGCCCAUUUCCUUGUUUUGGUCUUCAGGGACAAAGGGACCUCCCAGCCAUCUAAUUUUGACAGUGAGAUCCCCCUGAGUUGAAUACAGGCUAAUGUGGUUUGGAGCCUCAGGCUGGUCAUUAGUGCUCACCCAAGAUGGCUUGACGUUGGCUAUGUCAGGAGUCUUAGUUUCACAGAAAAAUAAGCAUGUGAGAGGUAAAGGAAAGCACAGAGAUUUUCACCACCUCUAAAAUUCAC